AUUUUGAGCGAAUUUUAGUUGAUAUGACAAUGAAGAUCAAAAGCUGGAAUGUGAACAGAGGAAGGGGUCGUACGUGGUCUGUAAAUACUGGCGAUAUCAGAUCAAGCUUUGUAAUAAGAUUUUUAUCGGGGGAGAACACCCAACAGAAAGACCCAUGAUUCACCAACUGGCGCACUGAAAGGGGAGAUUCAUGUCACCUUCAUCAGUCCUUUCUUUAAUCACUGGACACCAUUAAGGGAAAGACCCUCAGACGUGUCAUAAUAGAAUAAAUGCGGCUGCAGGACAAGGCCUGGUGAGAGUCACUACAGAGGAUCAUAGCCAUUGUUGGAAUUCUGAAAGGAUGUGGGUGAAUAUCAAUCUGCCAAAUGAACAUUCACAUCUGUAUAUUAAUACUGAUUAUAUAUGAACUUGUUUGUUUGUAACUGGAAAGAACUUAGCUUCUAUUGUUUUUGACUGAAGGACUUGACCGUGUUUUAAGCCUAUGUGCAUUUUCUAUUACCAGUACCUGCUCUGGCCGUGCUCCAUUUUCCAUUGCAGAUCAUACCCAGAGAUAGUACCCCUCAAUGCUGCUGGUCAGCAUAGCAAGGCCACACACAACUGCCGCGACGUACUGUUCAAUGCGACACACACACCUGCGACCCACAUACAGCUGUCUCUUGAUUUAAGUUAAAACGUUUCAGCAUUACUCAGAAUGUAAAGACAGAUACUUAAAGGUGCUCUAAGCAAUGCCGGGAGUCGUAACUUCUUGUUGACGUUCGAAUUGUUGUCAAACAAAACA